rnacentral:rRNA from 1 species
GACAUAGGUUGCGAGCGUUAUUCGGAAUCACUGGGCGUAAAGCGCACGUAGGCGGAUGUGCCAGUCAGGGGUGAAAUCCCGGAGCUCAACUCCGGAACUGCCUCUGAUACAGCACGUCUUGAGUCCGGAAGAGGUGGGUGGAAUUCCUAGUGUAGAGGUGAAAAUUCGUAGAUAUUAGGAAGAACACCGGUGGCGAAGGCGGCCCCACUGGUCCGGUACUGACGCUGAGGUGCGAAAGCGUGGGGAGCAAACAGG